rnacentral:sRNA from 1 species
GCUAACUGGUUCCUAGGCCCGGCUUACUGUUUGGGGGCCAUUCUUAAUUUCUAGUUGAAUCCAGAUGUUGAACGGUCCUUGAAGUUCUAUUCCAGGGCUCCCAGGCAGCAGAAUCUGCCCACAGAGUUCGGAGUGAUAGAUUCGUGUGGCCUUUCAAAUGAUUGUGAAGUGGUGGAAAUGGAUCCAAAAUAUUAAGUGACUUCUCUACCAAAGCAUAGAAGAUUCUUCAUAUCUCCUUCCAGUGGCUCAAUUUAGAUUUUGGGAAGGAGCAGAACAAGUGAAACACAGAAAACUGAAGAGAAGAAAUCCUCAUUUUGGACCUAUAUUUCUCCUUGACUAUUUCUUAAUAUCCAUCCUACCCAUCUUUCUAAUGUUUUAAGUUUGCUCUGAAUUUAUAAAUAGUAAAGGCCAAAGACAUAGAAUAUACAUUUAGUAGCUUUAUACCAAGAAAUUUGCCUUGAAAGCUGCUGUUCGUGGAGGGAAAAGUAGCAAAUUCCUGUCUAUUUUUAUUUUUUAUUUUUUUUUUAACAAAGACAAGAUUUAUAUCCCUAGAUUUUG